rnacentral:rRNA from 1 species
UACGUAGGUGGCAAGCGUUGUCCGGAUUUACUGGGCGUAAAGAGCGCGCAGGCGGUCGUUCAAGUCGCGUGUGAAAGCCCCCGGCUCAACUGGGGAGGGUCACGCGAUACUGAUCGACUCGAAGGCAGGAGAGGGUAGUGGAAUUCCCGGUGUAGUGGUGAAAUGCGUAGAGAUCGGGAGGAACACCAGUGACGAAGGCGACUUCUUGGCCUGUUCUUGACGCUGAGGCGCGAAAGCUGGGGGAGCAAACGGG